GCAGUGACAUUGGGUGACCAAACUCUGCAAUCAACAUUGAUUUCCAUCACAAAAUGGGAAGUCUGGCUUAGGCUUUCUUUACAGCCUUUAUUUUUCCUCGUAGUACCACUUUAAUCACAAACCCCCUACGUGGAGCAGGAACAUUGCACAGUUAAAAUAAAUUCCAACUAAUGCAACUUAUUCAAAAGAAUCCGGGAUCGAAAGCGGAAGACGACAUGCACCGGAUCAAAUACUCAAUCUUUGGACAACUCUAAUAGCAGCCGGGCCGAACAGGGUGAGGAACGGAAGGGAAUAUCCCAGCUGAUGCUGGGAAUCAUACAGAACUCUUCAAGGAAUGGGAACGCAAUUACGUUGGGAGGCAAAGUCCUAGGGGAUUGUUGCUACACAAACCAUCUAGAAACCCAGCAGGAUGAUCACUUGGGCAAAGCUUUCCAAUGCUUUUGAAACAGCAUUCUGCAUUCAUCAAUACCACCAGAGAAGUGGAAAGAAAAGCAGAAAAGCAGAAUAGCUAGUGAACGAAAAAGGAGGAAAUCUGAUGAAGAUGCAGUCAAAAAUGCAAACAAAAAGGUCAUUUUCCAAACAAUUUAGUAGUUAUUUGACUUUAAUUUUUUAAGAUAACCAUGCCUAACCAGUACUUUGUUUAAUAGUUUAUUUUAACAUUUCUUGUGAUGCCAAAAUAUAGCAAAGUUACGAGAAAUAAAGUAAUUAGAAGAAUAAUGCAAUCAUUGAAAAAUGGUUUAAGAACUGCAAAAAACUGAUUAAUACUGAAUAAAGUGAUAAAUAUUGGUAGAACAAAUAAUACUAGGUUCUUUUUAUAUAUUGCACUGAAGGUGAUUCAUCUGUUGUCAACAUGACUAUCUUUAAGUGUAUUAGCCUCUUCCAAAUACUUAUAAGUAAGAUCUAUCAUAAAAUGGUGAAAAACAUCCAGGUGCAACCAAACCUUAUUUAUGCUUUAUUUCAUUUUAUACCUUAGUGGAAAGUGCUGAUUAAAGACAACAAAACAUCUGUACAACAAGCUCCACAGUAUACCACGUUGAGUGACUAAAGUACACAGUAUAAUGAAUGCCAUAUCACAAUAGCGUAAAGGAAAAGCAGACGCAGGGCAUAGGGACAAGACAGUAUGCUACUGGAGGAGCACAGCAGGCCAGAUAGCAUCAGAGGAGCAGGAGAGUUGAUGUUUUGGGUCAGGAGCAUUCUUCAGAAAGCCCAGACCCAAAAUGUCAAUGUUCCUGCUCCUUUGGUGCUGCCUGACUGGCUCCAUACUGUGUUGUCUCUGACUCCAGCAUCUGCAGUUCUUGCUCUCUCACAGGGCACAGGGGCCAAUUAGACACAUGGGUUAAAGUUUCAAACAAGUAGUAUAUUUUUCCCCCAUGGUAAUUGGUAAGUACUGUGAUUUUCAAGAUGGGAGUGUGAAGUAAAGGGUUAACUAUGCCUCCCUUCUAAGAAUAACUAUCAAGCAUGUGCACAACAAUUAUGUUACAGUGAUAUCAGAUAGCAUGGAACAGAACACUGAGGCAGUAGAGUUCAAAUAUUCAUUCACAAGAAUUUGAUCUGUAACCGAGUCUAACUCUCAACCAAAACACAAACAGAUUUUAAACAAAGCCUCAUACCUAACAUGCAUUGUCUGACUUAAAACAGCACCUCUUCUUUAUACUGAUAAAACCUUUUCUUCUCUCAGGGCAGUGAUCUGAAAGAAAUUCAGGGAUUUACGUACAUGUAUUAAUCAAAUAAAACCUUAUAACUGAUUAAAGACUUAAGAGCAUCUUAAGUUUGUUCAAUGCUUGCUCAUCUGUGGUGUGAUCAUUUGAUCUUUUACUUAUAAAUUCUGUAUCUGAUACCAACUCUCUCACAAACGCCUGAAGAAGGAGCAA